AAUAGAUACCCGGGUAGUCCACGCCGUAAACGAUGGAUACUAGCUGUUGGGGGCAACUUCAGUGGCUAAGCGAAAGUGAUAAGUAUCCCACCUGGGGAGUACGAACGCAAGUUUGAAACUCAAAGGAAUUGACGGGGGCCCGCACAAGCGGUGGAGCAUGUGGUUUAAUUCGAUGAUACGCGAGGAACCUUACCAAGGCUUAAAUGCAGACUGACCGAUUUGGAAACAGAUCUUUCGCAAGACAGUUUACAAGGUGCUGCAUGGUUGUCGUCAGCUCGUGCCGUGAGGUGUCAGGUUAAGCCCUAUAACGAGCGCAACCCCUGUUGUUAGUUGCCAGCGAGUCAUGUCGGGAACUCUAACAAGACUGCCAGUGCAAACUGUGAGGAAGGUGGGGAUGACGUCAAAUCAUCACGGCCCUUACGCCUUGGGCUACACACGUGCUACAAUGGCCGGUACAGAGAGCAGCCACUGGGCGACCAGGAGCGAAUCUAUAAAGCCGGUCACAGUUCGGAUCGGAGUCUGCAACUCG
rnacentral:rRNA from 1 species